AUGGAGGGCCGGGCGCGGUAAGAGCGUCUAGGGGGAGUAGGGCAAGGCGGCGGGGCCCAUCCCAUUCCGCCUUUUCUUCAGCGUCCUGCCCGCGGCACUGGCUGCGGGCGCCGGGCCACCUGCGAGUGUGCGCAGGGACUCCGGACACCCGCGGCGGCGAGCUGAGGGAGCAGUCUUCACGAGGACCGAGGCGGACCCUCGGGCGCCAUGCGCGCCCUCCCCGGCCUGCUGGGGACUAGGGCGCGUACGCCCCGGCUGCUCCUCCUCUUCCAGUGCCUUCUCGCCGCCGCGCGCCCAAGCUCGGCGGACGGCAGUGCCCCAGAUUCGCCUUUUACAAGUCCACCUCUCAGAGAAGAAAUGAUGGCAAAUAACUUUUCCUUGGAGAGUCAUAACAUAUCACUGACUGAACAUUUUAGUAUGCCAGUAGAAAAAAAUAUCACUUUAGAAAAGCCUUCUAAUGUAAAUCUCACAUGCCAUUUCACAACAUCUGGGGAUUUGAAUGCAGUAAAUGUGACUUGGAAAAAAGAUGGUGAACAACUUGAGAAUAAUUAUCUUGUCAGUGCAACAGGAAGCACCUUGUAUACCCAAUACAGGUUCACCAUCAUUAAUAGCAAACAAAUGGGAAGUUAUUCUUGUUUCUUUCGAGAGGAAAAGGAACAAAGGGGAACAUUUAAUUUCAAAGUCCCUGAACUUCAUAGGAAAAACAAGCCAUUGAUCUCUUACGUAGGGGAUUCUACUGUCUUGACAUGUAAAUGUCAAAAUUGUUUUCCUUUAAAUUGGACCUGGUACAGUAGUAAUGGGAGUGUAAAGGUUCCUGUUGGUGUUCAAAUGAAUAAAUAUGUGAUCAAUGGAACAUAUGCUAACGAAACAAAGCUGAAGAUACCACAACUUUUGGAGGAAGAUGGGGGAUCUUACUGGUGCCAUGCCCUAUUCCAAUUAGGCGAGAGUGAAGAACACAUUGAGCUUGUGGUGCUGAGCUAUUUGGUACCCCUCAAACCAUUUCUUGUAAUAGUGGCUGAGGUGAUUCUUUUAGUGGCCACCAUUCUGCUUUGUGAAAAGUACACACAAAAGAAAAAGAAGCACUCAGAUGAGGGGAAAGAAUUUGAGCAGAUUGAACAGCUGAAAUCAGAUGAUAGCAAUGGUAUAGAAAAUAAUGUCCCCAGGCAUAGAAAAAAUGAUUCUCUGGGCCAGUGAAUACAAAACAUCAUGUCGAGAAUCAUUGGAAGAUAUACAGAGUUCGUAUUUCAGCUUUGUUUAUCCUUCCUAUUAAGAGCUUCUGAGUUUUUAGUUCUAAAAGGAUGAAAAGCUUAUGCAACAUGCUCAGCAGGAGCUUCAUCAUUGAUAUAUGCUAUCUCAGAUCUAAAGUAUUGAGAAAAAGAAAAUGGAACUAUGGACCCUUCUUUCAUAUGAUACUUAGGAAUGUAUCUGCACUGUAUCCAGAAGGUCAGUUACAUGCCCUGUUUACCAAUUGAAUUCUGCUUCACUGAGGAUAAUAAUAACUGACAUUGAGUGCAUGGCAUAUGAUGGGCACUGUACAAAUUGCUGUGACAUGUUUUGUUCAUUUAAUUCACACAAUGGUCCUAUGCUAUAAAAACAGUUAAUAUCGACUUUUUUAUAGAUGAGGAAACUGCAGCUUAGAGAGAUUAGGUAAGCUGCCUAAAGUCACCCUGACUGUAAAUGUUUAGAGCUGAGAUUCACAUUCACGGAGUCCUCCUGAGGAACCUAGGAUUAACCACCACGUUGAACAGCUUUGGCCUGCAAAUUACAUGCUUCUUAGAAAAUGAGGCUAUUAUCUAUAAUUUGUAUUUUUUAAUAUCAAUUUUAUUCCUUUCAACUGGUCAGUUAUAUCAUAAAUUCCAUGGAAUUUUUAUGGAACCCAUUCUUUGCCACUCUUGUAUCCCUAUAGUGGUGCUGGGGAAUCAAGACACAUUUAUUUGCCUUAGCACUCUUUCUUUCUUUUUUUUUUUUUUGUAAUUUUACUUAUAAAUUGGGAGGGUGGCCAUAAAAUUUAUCAUCCAACCACUGAAAGUGAAAGAAGGUGCUAUUUAUGAUUUCCCCAGGACAACUGGCAGAAAAUACUCUCUGGUCGUACAUUUAGCCUGCAGAGAGAAUUUAAGUACAUUAUGGAUAGUCUGCCAUAGACACAGCAGUAGCAUCUGCAACAAGUAAAUGAUAAACGAAAAUCAACUUUCAAGGAAAUAGCCAUUUUUAGUAAACAUAGGGAAAUAGCCAUUUUAAGUAAGUGUCAGGUGAGUCUCACUAUAAACUGCCUAUAAUGAGACAGUUUAGUAAGCUUAAAGUUUUAUUAAUUUCCAAAAGCAUCUAAUAGGUUGAGAUUUAUUGGCAUUCAAAAGUGUGAUUCACAAAUUGUAAGAGAAGCUGGCAAAGAAAGUCAUGUUUUUGCUGGCCUAUGGAAUGCACUGGAUAAUUCUUUGGGCUUGCAUAUCUUCUGAUUCAUGUGUCAUCAUAAUAAUGUCUGAGUGAUUCUCAGUGAAUCAUGAAUGCGUGAUUGUGCUUUUACAAUAAAAUUUGCUUAUGAAGUCAGUGAAAAUAAUUCAUGAAUAACGUUGUCAAAAUUACUUUUAAUCACAAGAUUAACCUGCAACAACUAUGUAUAUUAUUUUUAUGUAUUGGCUUAUUAUAUUCAAAAACUUUGUUUAUAAAAACUGAUUUUGCUAUUUAAUUUUUAAUUUACUUUAGAAAAUAAUGUAGCACAAUGUUAGAUUUAUUACAUAUGUAACUUAAUAUUAUUUAAUGCUGCAAAAUCAUAGCACAUGUUUAUAACUAUAGCAUUUUAUUAACUGUCUUUGUACUUUUAAAGAAAGAAAUAUGAUCAUAAUCUUUAGUUUUAUUUAAAUCAAGGAUCAUGGAUUUAUUUUGACAUACUUUCUAAUAAUUACAAUGUUUUCCUUUGUAAACAUAUGUGCCUAAAUUCUCAUUGAGGGCUUUCUGUACUGUGUAAAUAGCACAGAAAAUGUCUAUAUAGGAAUGUUUAAAAAACAUUUUCUGUUGCGUGUAACUCAAAAGAUACAUCUAAUAUGCAAUUAAAUUGAAUAAAAUAGUACUUUGUGAAUUAAAAAUUUAAGUAUUGAAAAACAUUGUCAUGCUUUUUAUUUUUAAUAGUGGUUUAAAAGAGAAUAUAAAGGCACUAAACAGAAAACACUAGUUUUUUUUUCUUUGUGUAUACUCACAAGUAAUUUAAAUCAUGUUGAACAAUAUGUCCUUCUCAAGCCCAGUGAAA